rnacentral:lncRNA from 1 species
CAAAACCAGACAUUCUGUGCAGGUGGAUGGAUGACAGUUGGUGUUUUUACUAUGUAGCAAACUCAAAAGGUUUCUCUGCUGAAGGUUUUGUGGCUCUCUUAGGAGGAGUGGAAGCUUUGUGGGGUAGGACCUAAUGGACAGAAGCUGAUCUCGAGGAGCCUCAGAAGGGUGUGUGUUGUCUCUCUGUGCAUCCUGCCUGCCACGAGGAACUAUUAUAUCAACCACUCCUUUGGAUCGUGUCUACAUCAUCUGUGGGACAUGUGACACGAUGGUGCACCCACAUCUGCUCCUGGAAGGUCAGGCACAACAAAAAGGUCAGAAACAAAAAGUUAAAGGUUGGGUCGAAAGGAGAUGCGCCUUCCACAGCUGUCAAAACCACGCACAGGUGCAUGUAAGGAGCGCGCUCUUGAGGUCCUCCGGUCAGGCGACAAAGCCGCGAUGAGCAGCAUCAGAGGCUGUGACAGCUGUGACCCUUGGGGCCUCACUUGUGCAUUCCUGUGGAAAAGCAAAGCUCAGACUUGAGGCCGGCACAGCAUGGAAAGAGGGACUGACUCACGACCCCUGGUAGAGAACCCCCUUCCCCUACCCAGAGGCCCUCUGGAAGAUUGCACUGGCCUCCCCAUACCCUGGUAGGCCAUUUUCAAAUGCUGCCAUGCUGGCUUAAUUCCACUCCAUAAACAUAGGUGUCUGUGGUGCUGGGGAGUGACCCGACCCAUGGCCUUCUUCACUCGAGACAAUUCCUCUCACACUGCGCUACACCCCAGCAAACAUCCACUUUUAUGGAACCAUCUAAAGACGACAGCUUUUGACCACACACCUCAGCAUCUUCAGCCCUUCCCGAUGCCUUCCUUAGAACAAUGCUCUCCAGCUCACGCCUGACCACAGUACCCAUGAUUCCAUUGGCUUCCGGUCUAGGCUCCUCCUAUCCCCCCUCCCUCCGACUCUCGUUUUGUAGGUUUGGGUGGUUCGAUGGUUUCUUGGUCGUUUACUUUGGAUCCUCUAGUGUCCUUCAUCGUUCGUAAAUGUGCGGGUUCUCCCUGCAACUGCCCCGGCUGGGAGUUUGUUCUUCUGUCUGCAUGGUGCACCUCCUAAGGCUGUGCCUUGUAGAUCAGUCCAGACCUUGGGUUUGCUCGGCCAUUUCAUCUGUCACUCAGCUCCCACUCUGUCCUGAUGAGUCACGUGACCCGAAAGGCCGCACUGACACAUCAUUACCGCAGGAGUCCGGGUCUUUUCCUUUGAAUACAGAAUUACUUAUGUAAAUGUGUUUGUUUUUAAUUGGUUCAUAAUAAUUAUACAGAUUUAUAAGAUCAGGAGUAAUGUUUCAAUAUGUGCAUAUAUUAGGGUGGUUUUUUAAAAUUAAUUCUUUUUUUUAAAUGUUUUAUUUGAAUCUCAUUUUAGAAAACUUUGACUCCAAUUUUGGUCUAAAUGUAAAAUGACUCCUCUGCACAGGCCCACGUGUGUGAGCUUGUGCUCCCAGUUGGUAGCGCUAUUUGGGGAUGUCGGGUAGCUUUUAAGAGGUAGGACUUGGCAUGGCUAGCUAGCCUGGGUCCCUUGGAGUGGGCUGGGUCCAGCCAGGGACUGGUUCCCAUCUAGUUCUCUUUGCUUCCUGACCCAGCCACCAUGCGAGCAGCCCUUUUAUACAUUCUUCCUCCUUCCUCUCUGCCUUCCACCGGAGGUGACUAGAACCCUCGGAAUUGUGAACCAGCGAUGAUUUACAAGUCAUUUAAAGUCAUACUUCCUGUAAGUUGCCUAGACUUUGUGUCAGUAUCGAAAGCUGUUCCCUACAUAUUUACCGCUGGUUAACCAUCUUUAGAAACACGAGUAAAGCUGACAUCUUCUUUGCC